UGGGGAAUAUUGGACAAUGGGCGAAAGCCUGAUCCAGCCAUGCCGCGUGUGUGAAGAAGGUCUUCGGAUUGUAAAGCACUUUAAGUUGGGAGGAAGGGCAGUUACCUAAUACGUGAUUGUUUUGACGUUACCGACAGAAUAAGCACCGGCUAACUCUGUGCCAGCAGCCGCGGUAAUACAGAGGGUGCAAGCGUUAAUCGGAAUUACUGGGCGUAAAGCGCGCGUAGGUGGUUAGUUAAGUUGGAUGUGAAAUCCCCGGGCUCAACCUGGGAACUGCAUUCAAAACUGACAAGCUAGAGUAUGGUAGAGGGUGGUGGAAUUUCCUGUGUAGCGGUGAAAUGCGUAGAUAUAGGAAGGAACACCAGUGGCGAAGGCGACCACCUGGACUGAUACUGACACUGAGGUGCGAAAGCGUGGGGAGCAAACAGGAUUAGAUACCCCCGUAGUCCCUGAGCGGGCUGGCAAGGCG
rnacentral:rRNA from 1 species